GACAACAUAACGUUUUAUCGUCCUUCCCUCUGCCUAUAUCAACCUGCUCUGUUGCUCCGGAAUUCUCGUAUCAAGACUUCAAAACGAGUCCAGGCAUUAUCAGCGACGUCACAAUGUGAGAGGAGACGUUAUCAAGCUUGCUUUUUGCAAGCGUUAAAUGGUCUUAGGGAGAAAGAAACGACCAGUAAUAAGAACGAUAAAAAGAUAAUCGGAUUUUCUUCGUAUAGAUAUCGUAAAAUAUCAGCCGC
rnacentral:lncRNA from 1 species